GUACUUGCUUCGGCGGUACAUAUACUAAAAUUGGAACGAUACAGAGAAGAUUAGCAUGGCCCCUGCGCAAGGAUUACUAGGGUAGUCAGGACAGAUCUAAAGAUCCAUUUUU